rnacentral:rRNA from 1 species
UACAGAGGUCCCAAGCGUUGUUCGGAUUCACUGGGCGUAAAGGGUGCGUAGGUGGUUGGGUAAGUCUGAUGUGAAAUCUCCGGGCUCAACCCGGAAAUGGCAUUGGAUACUAUUCGGCUAGAGGUUUGGAGGGGGGACUGGAAUUCUCGGUGUAGCAGUGAAAUGCGUAGAUAUCGAGAGGAACACCAGUGGCGAAGGCGAGUCCCUGGACAACACCGUGACACUGAGGCACGAAAGCUAGGGGAGCAAACAGG